rnacentral:rRNA from 1 species
GACGAACGCUGGCGGCGUGCUUAACACAUGCAAGUCGAACGAAGAGCGAUGGAAGCUUGCUUCUAUCAAUCUUAGUGGCGAACGGGUGAGUAACGCGUAAUCAACCUGCCCUUCAGAGGGGGACAACAGUUGGAAACGACUGCUAAUACCGCAUACGAUCUAAUCUCGGCAUCGAGGAUAGAUGAAAGGUGGCCUCUACAUGUAAGCUAUCACUGAAGGAGGGGAUUGCGUCUGAUUAGCUAGUUGGAGGGGUAACGGCCCACCAAGGCGAUGAUCAGUAGCCGGUCUGAGAGGAUGACGGCCACAUUGGGACUGAGACACGGCCCAGACUCCUACGGGAGGCAGCAGUGGGGAAUCUUCCGCAAUGGACGAAAGUCUGACGGAGCAACGCCGCGUGAGUGAUGACGGCCUUCGGGUUGUAAAGCUCUGUUAAUCGGGACGAAAGGCCUUCUUGCGAAUAGUGAGAAGG